GACGAACGCUGGUGGCGUGCUUAACACAUGCAAGUCGAACGGGAUUUAGUAAACAGAAGCCUCGGUGGAAGAUUACUAAUGAGAGUGGCGAACGGGUGAGUAACGCGUGAGCAACCUGCCUAUGACAGUGGGAUAGCCUCGGGAAACCGGGAUUAAUACCGCAUAAAAUCGUAGAAACACAUGUUUUAACGGUCAAAGAUUUAUCGGUCAUAGAUGGGCUCGCGUCUGAUUAGCUAGUUGGUGAGAUAACAGCCCACCAAGGCGACGAUCAGUAGCCGGUCUGAGAGGAUGAACGGCCACAUUGGAACUGAGACACGGUCCAAACUCCUACGGGAGGCAGCAGUGGGGAAUAUUGCACAAUGGGGGAAACCCUGAUGCAGCGACGCCGCGUGAACGAAGGAGGUAUUCGUAUCGUAAAGUUCUGUCCUAUGGGAAGAUAAUGACAGUACCAUAGAAGAAAGCUCCGGCUAAAUACGUG
rnacentral:rRNA from 1 species